GAUGAACGCUGGCGGCGUGCCUAAUACAUGCGAGUCGAGCGAACGGACGAGAAGCUUGCUUUUCUGAUGUUAGCGGCGGACGGGUGAGUAACACGUGGAUAACCUACCUAUAAGACUGGGAUAACUUCGGGAAACCGGAGCUAAUACCGGAUAAUAUUUUGAACCGCAUGGUUCAAAAGUGAAAGACGGUCUUGCUGUCACUUAUAGAUGGAUCCGCGCUGCAUUAGCUAGUUGGUAAGGUAACGGCUUACCAAGGCAACGAUGCAUAGCCGACCUGAGAGGGUGAUCGGCCACACUGGAACUGAGACACGGUCCAGACUCCUACGGGAGGCAGCAGUAGGGAAUCUUCCGCAAUGGGCGAAAGCCUGACGGAGCAACGCCGCGUGAGUGAUGAAGGUCUUCGGAUCGUAAAACUCUGUUAUUGGGAAGAACAUAUGUGUAAGUAACUGUGCACAUCUUGACGGUACCUAAUCAGAAAGCCACGGCUAACUACGUG
rnacentral:rRNA from 1 species